AAAUCUCACAUUGGGAUCUUUCUUUUUUGAAAUGAUCCAAAUCGUGGACUUGGAUUUGCGAUUACUCAUAUAAUUGCUAAUCUGAAAUGGAUUUCAUGAAGCUAAACUCGCUUUUAUCUUUGCUUAAUAGUUUUGCUUUGCAAAUCUUUUGCAUUGAUUAAAAGCCAAAAAGUGAAUUGAUUUUUACGAAUUCAAACCUCAUU
rnacentral:misc_RNA from 1 species